rnacentral:pre_miRNA from 1 species
AGCUGAAUUGCCGGGCAAAUCUCCCUUGGCAGGGGGCUUACCAUUUUGCUUCAAUGAGCUUAAUUUCUUGCAGGCUUGCAGCUAAAAGGCUCCUGCCAGAGGAGUUUUGCCCAGCAAUGCACUU